AGCUUAACACAUGCAAGUCGAGCGGGGAAGUGGUAGCUUGCUACCUAACCUAGCGGCGGACGGGUGAGUAAUGCUUAGGAAUCUGCCAUUUAGUGGGGGACAACAUUCCGAAAGGAAUGCUAAUACCUGCAUACGUCCUACGGGAGAAAGCAGGGGAUCUUCGGACCUUGCGCUAAAUGAUGAGCCUAAGUCGGAUUAGCUAGUUGGUGGGGUAAAGGCCUACCAAGGCGACGAUCUGUAGCGGGUCUGAGAGUGAUGAUCCGCCACACUGGGACUGAGACACGGCCCAGACUCCUACGGGAGGCAGCAGUGGGGAAUAUUGGACAAUGGGCGGAAGCCUGAUCCAGCCAUGCCGCGUGUGUGAAGAAGGC
rnacentral:rRNA from 1 species